CCACUCCCUUGAACCUGAGGUGGCCUUGUGACUUGCUUUGACCCAGGGAACGUGGUGGAAAUGAUGUUGCACAAGUUCCAACGCUUAGGCUUCAAGAGACCAUCAAACUUCCAUCUUCACCCUCCAAGAACACUGCCCCCAAGACAGCCACGUAAGGAAACCAGACUACCUUACAGGAUAACCCAGCUGACGGCCAGUACAAGACAUGUGACUGAAGCCAUCUUGGACCUUCCAGUCCAGUUGAGCCUCCAUGCAUGAGUGAGCCCAGAUUUUUCCAAGGUUCCUAAACUGUGCAAGCUGAGGUGGCUUGGAGCAUCAUGGGAGAAACAUUGAUACUUGACAUCUUUUGGAUACCAUGCAAACUUCUAGUUCCAGGUUGCAAAGCACGUGUGGCUUAUUCUCAACACAUUCCUGAAAGCAGCAGCAACUUCUGAAACCGACCUCUUCUCUGCACAUCAGUUCUCCAACAGGGUCACAAACAUUAUCC